GAUGAACGCUGGCGGCGUGCUUAACACAUGCAAGUCGAACGGGAAACCUUUUAUUGAAGCUUCUGCAGAUUUAGCUGGUUUCUAGUGGCGACCGGGAGAGUAACUCGUGGGUAACCUGCCUUAUACAGGGGGAUAACAACCAGAUAUGGUUGCUAAUAUCGCAUAAGCUCACAGGACCGCAAGGUCCGGCGUUAAAAACUCUGGUGGUUUAAGAUGGACCCGCUUGGGAUUAGCUAGUUGGCACGGUAACGGCCUCCCAAGGCGCGGAUCCAUAGACGGCAUGAGAGGGUGGACGGACACAUUGAGACUGAGACACAGCCGAGACUCCUACGGGAGGGAGCAGUGGGGGAUAGUGCAACAUGGCGGAAAUCCUGAUGCAGCGACGACGGGUGAAGGAAGAAGUAACUCGAUAUGUAAACUGCUAUCAGCAGGGAAGGUAGUGACGGUACCUGACUAAGAAGCCCCGGCUAACUACGUG
rnacentral:rRNA from 1 species